rnacentral:lncRNA from 1 species
AGUGUCUGGAUUAAUAGAAGACAGCUGGAUUCUCAUGUCUGCCGCCACAUCAGUCUGUCUUAAGAUGUUGUUUGGGUUGAAGUACAUGAAGAAAAUCCAGCCGUACUCUGAUGUGCAGUGGAAACAAAGAGAACUUGAAAAAGAUCUCAGAUUAUUGGCACAGAAUGGUCCAGAGGAUAAGAAAGAUCCAUAGCUGAGGCCAUUGUUCUUUUCUACAGCUAAUGAUGAAGACUGAUGCUGAGGGUGAAGCCUCUGGAUCUACCCAUGUUCUGUUAUCAAAGAAGAAAAUUCUCAUCACUUUACUUCCAGGAAUGGAAAGUUUGUUUGAAUUGUUGUUGUGUGAUUACUAUUGUUGUUGCUUAUGUGUAUGUAUGUGCAUGCACAUGCUAUGGUGGCCCACACAGAGUCAGAGGAUAACUUUGUGAAGGCAAUUCUCUCCUACCAUAUGGGUUCUGGGGAUGGAACUUGGGCCACAGACUUGGUUGGCAGAAAGCUCCUUCACAUUCUAAGCCAUCUUGCAGUCCUGUUUGGUGUUUUGAGACAGGAGUUCAUAUAAUUCAAGGUGGCCUCAAACUCACUACAUAGACAAAAAGAAGAUAACCUAGCCGGGCAUUGGUGGCACAGCCUUUAAUCCCAGCACUCGGGAGGCAGAGGCAGAGGCAGGCAGAUCUCUGUGAGUUCGAGGCCAGCCUGGUCUCCAGAGUGAGUUCCAGGAUAGGCUCCAAAACUACACAGAGAAACCCUGCCUCGAAAAACCAAACAAGAAGAAGAAGAAGAAGAAGAAGAAGAAGAAGAAGAAGAAGAAGAAGAAGAAGAAGAAGAAGAAGAAGAUAACCUUGAGUACCUGUGCCUCUUGCCUGUGCCACCACAUCUGACUAAAAAGUGCUGUUAUUUAACUACUAUUAUUUUGUUUUGUUUUACACAAAGAUUCA